ACACAGUCAAUUACAACUUAAAUAACAUCAGAAUGAUCAACACCAACUCUCCAACAAAAAUUUUCAGCAAAAUGAGAACACUGACAACGCUGGCUUCAGCAAUGUGAGGCGAAAGUGAGACAAGAAGACAACUCCGUUGGAACAACUCAAAUGCUCGGAGGUAGAAGAUCUCAUGCAUUGUUUUCCGAGUGCUUUUCUCGCCACAGGCAUGAAGAUGUCACUCCCUCCGGUUCGGCUACCUGCGGAGCAAUCAUCAACGGUCUCAGACGCCGAAGAGAGUAUGAUGACCCCACCAGAGUACUUACCCACUACGUUACGCCUCCAUCAUCAUUAUUUCGCGUCACGCAACACGAGAACUAGUCAAAAUAGAUAGAUCUGAAAUAUACAUGGCAGCAUAAGAGUACAGAAACGCAUAAUUAGGCUUGCAGCUUCUGCCACCCUCCUUGCUGUAUUGUAUUCUAUACCAAUCACCCAAUCCCCUUCAAUCCAAUCCAAUCCAAUCCGACCGUUUGCUUAACAAAAAAAAAAAAAAAAACA
rnacentral:lncRNA from 1 species